rnacentral:lncRNA from 1 species
AGAGGAGGAGAAGGGAAGUCGGGGACGUCGGUCAUGUCUAGGCGCUGGUGUUCUGGGGUGUCAGGCAGAGUGGAAGGAGAGGAGGAGAAGGGAAGUCGGGGACGUCGGUCAUGUCUAGGCGCUGGUGUUCUGGGGUGUCAGGCAGAGUGGAAGGAGAGGAGGAGAAGGGAAGUCGGGGACGUCGGUCAUGUCUAGGCGCUGGUGUUCUGGGGUGUCAGGCAGAGUGGAAGGAGAGGAGGAGAAGGGAAGUCGGGGACGUCGGUCAUGUCUAGGCGCUGGUGUUCUGGGUGAGUGAGUGCCCUUUGUUAAAUCUAUUCCUGUUUUGAUCAAGAUCUUGAGAUCUUCCAUGUUGCUUGACUCACCUCUACUCUUUAAGAAACAUUUCUUUUGUCUAUUCUGGCAGCCACUGGUAUCCACUUUUUUUUUUCUAUGUAUUUGAUUACCUUCUUUACCCUUUAUUUGUGGAUUGUAUUUUUCUGUUUUGAGUGUUUUAUUUCACUCUCAUCUUGUCCUGAAAGCUUUAGCUGUGUUUUUUCUAUGUCAUUGGAUUUACUUCCUUCGAAGGGAUGAAUAAUACUUCGUUUUCUGUAUUGGUCAUAUUUUAUUUAUCCAUCCGACUCUAGACUAACAUUUGUGUUUCCUCCUCACCAUUG